AGUGAAACCUGGAGUCCACGAUGAAGGGCCACGGAGGAUGUCCUGGGUACAGGCCCGUGGACCUGCCACCCUCCAGGAGGCCCUCUCUUCCCAGGGGUAGGACUGACACCGGCUCCGGCGGGAAACGGAAGAAGGAAAACAGCAUGUAUUGAUAACAACCAUGGGCCAGGAAUUGUGCUAAAAGCUCUAUAUGCCUUAUGUAACUGAGUCCUCACAGCAGGGAUAACAGGGGAGAGUGCAAAUGCAGUUCCCCAUUACCACAAAUUAUGAAGUCGAGUUUCCCACCUUUGGGGAAAUUGCAGGGAUCAGCACAUCCAGAGUACAAUGGAGAAGACUCGCCCUGGGAAAACCACCUUUGUGAUCAUGGUCUCUCCCCUGAUGGAAUACAAUUGGAAAAACUGGUUAUUUUCCCAAGGCUUUGACUGGAAUGGUGUGCUCUCCUCUAAGGAAUCAAACUUAAGAAGCCAAUGAAACCCUUGGAAAACUGGCCUCAUAUUUUGUGUGCACAGUCCCUGUACAGGGUUUCUGAUGUGUGUUUAAAUUAUAUCCGUUACAGAAAUCAACUCCUGGAUACAUCAUAUUCAAGUCAAAGCCUAAAGAGCUGAGAAAGCAACCCCUAACAGUCCAAAAAAAGUCCUAUUCAUGUAAAAAAAUAAAUAAGAAAUCUUAAGCUAAAAAUCAUAAAAGUUAAGUAACUAAGUAAAAAUUGCUCAUCUUACUCAGUCUCAACCCCACCUCACCAAAUACUUUUUGUCGUUUCUACUUCUCCUUUUAAGCCAACUAUUAAAACCUUUUUUAAUGAAAAUUAUUUACUAUGACACCCUCGCGGGAACUGCUGUACUCACUCUACUAUUUGCAGUAGGACUGUGAACCCUCAGAGUGGAAUAUCUGACAGAGAAUCUCAAUUACUGUAGCAUUUUGCUUAAUUAUUAUCCUCAUAGCAGGAAUAACAGUUACUAACAAAAAAUAACACAUGGGUCUUUCCAAACAUGCACCUCUGCCUGUCAUUAAAAAAAAAAAAAAAAAAAGUUACUUCUGUCUCAACCAGUCGG
rnacentral:lncRNA from 1 species